GACGAACGCUGGCGGCGUGCUUAACACAUGCAAGUCGAACGGAAAGGCCCUGCUUUUGUGGGGUGCUCGAGUGGCGAACGGGUGAGUAACACGUGAGUAACCUGCCCUUGACUUUGGGAUAACUUCAGGAAACUGGGGCUAAUACCGGCUAGGAGCUCCUGCUGCAUGGUGGGGGUUGGAAAGUUUCGGCGGUUGGGGAUGGACUCGCGGCUUAUCAGCUUGUUGGUGGGGUAGUGGCUUACCAAGGCUUUGACGGGUAGCCGGCCUGAGAGGGUGACCGGCCACAUGGGGACUGAGAUACGGCCCAGACGCCUACGGGAGGCAGCAGUGGGGAAUAUGGCACAAUGGGGGGAAGCCUGAUGCAGCAACGCCGCGUGCGGGAUGACGGCCUUCGGGUUGUAAACCGCUUUCGCCUGUGACGAAGCGUGAGUGACGGUAAUGGGUAAAGAAGCACCGGCUAACUACGUG
rnacentral:rRNA from 1 species